CUGCCUACUAAAUAUACUGUGUCCACGACGACCAGCGCGGUGAAUGUCGUUUCGUUUGCUUGAAAGCGUUUAACUGCCAAAAUGUAAUUUUGAGGAGCUGAUUUGAUAUUUCAUCUCAAUGUUUUGAAGUAAUAAUGCGAAAUGCGACCGAAAACUGACGUAACGAAAAACAUUCAAACGAAACACUUCGCGGGACUCGUGAGCCUCGUGAACAGGGCCGUCUUCUUAAUUGGGACAAAAUCUUAAAAUGAUCGUUUCGAUGCGCACGGUACAAGUUUGCCCUGUAAACAUACCUACCUACAUACAUACGUACAAUAUUUAUUUGCUGCAUUUGCAAAACAGAAGUUCAUCCGCAUGCACACAGAACACCGCAUCUACAAGCCAUCCAAUAUCGCCUCACCGGAUUUGUAGCGUACUCAUUGUAUCAAUAACUUGAUGUAAGUAAAUAAAUUAAUUUUUCAAAUCAAAAAGACAAAACACAACACUCCUAAUCCAA